rnacentral:rRNA from 1 species
GACGAACGCUGGCGGCGUGGAUAGGCAUGCAAGUCGAACGGUAGGAUACCUUCGGGUAUCUGAGAGUGGCGAACGGGUGAGUAACACGUAGGUGAUCUACCCUCAAGAUUGGGACAACCCAGGGAAACUUGGGCUAAUACCGGAUGAAAGCAGCAGUGAUGUUGUUUGAAAGGUGGCGUAAGCUGCCGUUUGGGGAUGAGCCUGCGCUCUAUUAGUUAGUUGGCGGGGUAAAGGCCCACCAAGGCGAUGAUAGAUAGGCGGCCUUAACGGGUGGUCGCCCACACUGGGAUUGAGAUACGGCCCAGACUCCUACGGGAGGCAGCAGUCGAGAAUAGUCUACAAUGGCCGAAAGGCUGAUAGUGCGACGCCGCGUGAACGAAGAAGCCCUUCGGGGUGUAAAGUUCUUUUAUAUGUGAGCAGUGCUUUCUAUGUGAACAGCAUGGGGAGAGAGAUAUUAGCAUAUGAAUAAGCAACGGCUAACUCCGUG